UACGUAGGGGGCAAGCGUUGUCCGGAAUCAUUGGGCGUAAAGAGCGUGUAGGCGGUCCGUUAAGUCGGCUGUGAAAGUCCAAGGCUCAACCUUGGGAUGCCGGUCGAUACUGCCGGACUAGAGUUCGGAAGAGGCGAGUGGAAUUCCCGGUGUAGCGGUGAAAUGCGCAGAUAUCGGGAGGAACACCUAUUGCGAAGGCAGCUCGCUGGGACGUUACUGACGCUGAGGCGCGAAAGCGUGGGGAGCGAACAGG
rnacentral:rRNA from 1 species